rnacentral:rRNA from 1 species
GCUGGCGGCAGGCUUACACAUGCAAGUCGAGCGAGAGUGAUGGUGCUUGCACUAUCACUUAGCGGCGGACGGGUGAGUAAUGCUUAGGAAUCUGCCUAUUAGUGGGGGACAACAUCUCGAAAGGGAUGCUAAUACCGCAUACGUCCUACGGGAGAAAGCAGGGGAUCACUUGUGACCUUGCGCUAAUAGAUGAGCCUAAGUCGGAUUAGCUAGUUGGUGGGGUAAAGGCCUACCAAGGCGACGAUCUGUAGCGGGUCUGAGAGGAUGAUCCGCCACACUGGGACUGAGACACGGCCCAGACUCCUACGGGAGGCAGCAGUGGGGAAUAUUGGACAAUGGGGGGAACCCUGAUCCAGCCAUGCCGCGUGUGUGAAGAAGGCCUUAUGGUUGUAAAGCACUUUAAGCGAGGAGGAGGCUCUUUUGGUUAAUACCCAAGAUGAGUGGACGUUACUCGCAGAAUAAGCACCGGCUAACUCUGUGCCAGCAGCCGCGGUAAUACAGAGGGUGCAAGCGUUAAUCGGAUUUACUGGGCGUAAAGCGCGCGUAGGCGGCCAAUUAAGUCAAAUGUGAAAUCCCCGAGCUUAACUUGGGAAUUGCAUUCGAUACUGGUUGGCUAGAGUGUGGGAGAGGAUGGUAGAAUUCCAGGUGUAGCGGUGAAAUGCGUAGAGAUCUGGAGGAAUACCGAUGGCGAAGGCAGCCAUCUGGCCUAACACUGACGCUGAGGUGCGAAAGCAUGGGGAGCAAACAGGAUUAGAUACCCUGGUAGUCCAUGCCGUAAACGAUGUCUACUAGCCGUUGGGGCCUUUGAGGCUUUAGUGGCGCAGCUAACGCGAUAAGUAGACCGCCUGGGGAGUACGGUCGCAAGACUAAAACUCAAAUGAAUUGACGGGGGCCCGCACAAGCGGUGGAGCAUGUGGUUUAAUUCGAUGCAACGCGAAGAACCUUACCUGGGCCUUGA